UCAUAAGUUCGGGGUCAGCUGUUCAUGGUGAAGCUUCUACUACUGCGAAUCAGAAUGAUGCAUCCAGUCUACGUGUUCCACCUACCGGUCAUAUUCGGAAGCAUGCAGCACGGUUGCUAAAUGUACUUUCAGUUCUUCCAAAAGUCAAGAAAGAACUAGUUGGAGAUAAAGAGUGGUGCGAAUGGCUUGAAGAAUGUGCCAACGGAGGGAUUCCUGGUUGCAAUGACCCUAAAAUUCGAAGUUAUGCGAGGGCAACACUUUUGAACAUAUUCUGUGAUG
rnacentral:misc_RNA from 1 species